AUCCAGAUGACGAGUCCCAAACAUGACGAAAUGUGUGUCCUGGGU
rnacentral:hammerhead_ribozyme from 1 species